ACGGAGGAUCCGAGCGUUAUCCGGAUUUAUUGGGUUUAAAGGGUGCGUAGGCGGAAUAAUAAGUCAGUUGUGAAAGUUUGCGGCUCAACCGUAAAAUUGCAGUUGAUACUGUUAUUCUUGAGUGUACAUAAGGUAGGCGGAAUUCGUGGUGUGGCGGUGUACUGCGUAGAUAUCGCGGAGAACUCAAAUUGCGAAGGAAGCUAACCGGGGUUCAACUGACGCGGAGUCACGAAAGUGUUGUUAUCAAACAG
rnacentral:rRNA from 1 species